rnacentral:rRNA from 1 species
GAUGAACGCUAGCGGCAGGCUUAAUACAUGCAAGUCGAACGGGAUUGAGAAGCUUGCUUUUCAUGAGAGUGGCGCACGGGUGCGUAACACGUAUGCAACCUACCUUGUCCAGGGGGAUAGCCCGUUGAAAGACGGAUUAAGACCGCAUAACAUUGAGAUGUGGCAUCACAAAUCAAUCAAAUAUUUAUAGGGACAAGAUGGGCAUGCGCCUGAUUAGGUAGUUGGCGGGGUAAUGGCCCACCAAGCCGACGAUCAGUAGGGGAUCUGAGAGGAUGACCCCCCACACUGGUACUGAGACACGGACCAGACUCCUACGGGAGGCAGCAGUAAGGAAUAUUGGUCAAUGGGCGAAAGCCUGAACCAGCCAUGCCGCGUGCAGGAAGACGGCCCUACGGGUUGUAAACUGCUUUUAUACGGGAAUAACCCCGGUUUCGUGAAACCGGCUGAAUGUACCGUAAGAAUAAGGAUCGGCUAACUCCGUGCCAGCAGCCGCGGUAA